AUGCCCAUUUCACUGAUCUGCUUUCAUUCAUAUAGCUUUAUUUCUUAUGUGCUAUAAACAUGGUUGAAGAUGACUUAGCAGUAUAACUAGAUAGUAAUGCUGCCAUUCUCCUUCAGACAAAU